rnacentral:rRNA from 1 species
UACGUAGGGCGCAAGCGUUAUCCGGAAUUAUUGGGCGUAAAGAGCUCGUAGGCGGUUUGUCGCGUCUGCCGUGAAAGUCCGGGGCUCAACUCCGGAUCUGCGGUGGGUACGGGCAGACUAGAGUGAUGUAGGGGAGACUGGAAUUCCUGGUGUAGCGGUGAAAUGCGCAGAUAUCUGGAGGAACACCGGUGGCGAAGGCGGCAUCCUGGACCGACAUUGACGCUGAGGCGCGAAAGCCAGGGGAGCAAACGGG